GACGAACGCUGGCGGCGUGCCUAAUACAUGCAAGUUGAGCGAUGAAGAUUGGUGCUUGCACCAAUUUGAAGAGCGGCGAACGGGUGAGUAACGCGUGGGGAAUCUGCCUUUGAGCGGGGGACAACAUUUGGAAACGAAUGCUAAUACCGCAUAACAACUUUAAACAUAAGUUUUAAGUUUGAAAGAUGCGAUUGCAUCACUCAAAGAUGAUCCCGCGUUGUAUUAGCUAGUUGGUGAGGUAAAGGCUCACCAAGGCGAUGAUACAUAGCCGACCUGAGAGGGUGAUCGGCCACAUUGGGACUGAGACACGGCCCAAACUCCUACGGGAGGCAGCAGUAGGGAAUCUUCGGCAAUGGACGAAAGUCUGACCGAGCAACGCCGCGUGAGUGAAGAAGGGUGUCGGAUCGUAAAACUCUGUUGGUAGAGAAGAACGUUGGUGAGAGUGGAAAGCUCAUCAAGUGACGGUAACUACCCAGAAAGGGACGGCUAACUACGUG
rnacentral:rRNA from 1 species